rnacentral:rRNA from 1 species
AUACGGAGGAUGCAAGCGUUAUCCGGAUUUAUUGGGUUUAAAGGGUGCGUAGGCGGAUGAUUAAGCGUGAGGUGAAAUGCCACUGCUCAACAGUGGAACUGCCUCGCGAACUGGUUGUCUUGAAUGCUCCUGCCGUGGGAGGAAUGUGUGGUGUAGCGGUGAAAUGCAUAGAGAUCACACAGAACACCGAUUGCGAAGGCAUCUCACGAAGGGGUGAUUGACGCUGAGGCACGAAAGCGUGGAGAUCAAACAGGAGUAGAUUCCCUGGUAGUCCACGCAGUAAACGAUGAUAUCUAACCGCUGGGUCGUAGUGAUUCAGUGGCCAAGCGAAAGCGAUAAGUUAUCCACCUGGGGAGUACGACCGCAAGGUUGAAACUCAAAGGAAUUGGCGGGG